AAGCCGAACUUUAAGGAUCUUUCAUAGAGUUUCUGACUGAGGAAUGUGUUCUAAAGUGUUUGGUCUCGCAUGAACCACGAUGAGAUGUUUGAGAUCCUUUUCUGAGCGUGAAGCUAACAGAGAGUAAGGAUUCACGUCAUAUGCUCUCUGUCCAUUGAUGAUUGUUAUUGCUUUCUGUAUGGAGUAUUGAGGAAGGAAUAUGAUCAGAGUG